rnacentral:rRNA from 1 species
AGAGUUUGAUCCUGGCUCAGAACGAACGCUGGCGGCGUGCCUAAUAUAUGCAAGUCGAGCGAGAAAGUCUCCUUUGGGAGGCGAGUAAAGCGGCGCACGGGUGCGUAACACGUGAGCAACCUGCCCUCGGGCCGGGGACAACAUUCCGAAAGGGGUGCUAAUACCGGAUACGAUCUGCCGUCGCAGGGUGGCAGGUGAAAGAUGGCCUCUUCUUGAAAGCUAUCACCCGAGGAUGGGCUCGCGGCCCAUCAGCUAGUUGGUGUGGUAACGGCUCACCAAGGCUUUGACGGGUAGCUGGUCUGAGAGGAUGAUCAGCCACACUGGGAUUGAGACACGGCCCAGACUCCUAUGGGAGGCAGCAGUGGGGAAUAUUGCGUAAUGGGCGAAAGCCUGACGCAGUAACGCCGCGUAAGUGAUGAAGGCCUUUGGGUCGUAAAGCUCUGUCAGGAGGGACGAUGGGGCGACGGGAAUAAUACCCCGCCGCUUUGACGGUACCUCCAGAGGAAGCACCGGUUAAUUUUGUGUUAGUAGUUGUUGUAAUAUGGAGGGUGCAAGCGUUGUUCGGAAUUACUGGGCGUAAAGCGCGUGUAGGCGGGACGGUCAGUCAGAUGUGAAAGUUUUUGGUUUAAUUGAGGAAGUGUAUUUGAUACUGCCGGCCUAGAGUAUGGGAGAGGGAUGGGGAAUUUCUGGUGUAGAGGUGAAAUUUGUAGAUAUUGGGAGGAAUAUUUGUGGUGAAGGUGUUAUCCUGGACCGAUACUGACGCUGAGACGCGAAAGUGUGGGGAGUAAAUAGGAUUAGAUAUUUUGGUAGUUUAUAUUGUAAAUGAUGAGUGCUAGGUGUUGCGGGUAUUUAUUUUUGCAGUGCCGAAGUUAAUGUAUUAAGCACUCCGCCUGGGAAGUAUGGCCGUAAGGUUAAAACUCAAAGGAAUUGACGGGGGCCCGCAUAAGCGGUGGAGCAUGUGGUUUAAUUUGAUGCAAUGUGAAGAAUUUUACCCAGAUUUGAUUUUCCGAGAAAGCCUCUGAAAAGAGGCUGUGCCCUUUGUGGGAACUCGGAGAUAGGUGUUGUAUGGCUGUUGUCAGCUCGUGUUGUGAGAUGUUGGGUUAAGUUUUGUAAUGAGUGUAACCCCUGCCCUUAGUUGUUAUUAUUUAGUUGGGUAUUUUAGGGGGACUGCCGGUGUUAAACCGGAGGAAGGUGGGGAUGACGUUAAGUUUUUAUGGCCCUUAUGUCUGGGGUUAUACACGUGCUAUAGUGGUCGAUAUAGAGGGUUGCGAACCCGUGAGGGGGAGUUAAUUUUAAAAAGUCGGCCUCAGUUUGGAUUGGAGUUUGUAAUUUGAUUCCAUGAAGCUGGAAUCGCUAGUAAUCGCGCAUUAGUAUGGCGCGGUGAAUA